rnacentral:rRNA from 1 species
CCUACGGGAGGCAGCAGUAGGGAAUCUUUCACAAUGGGCGAAAGCCUGAUGGAGCAACGCCGCGUGCAGGAUGGAGGCCUUCGGGUUGUAAACUGCUUUUAUAAGCGAGAAAUAUGAUGGUAACUUAUGAAUAAGGAUCGGCUAACUACGUGCCAGCAGCCGCGGUCAUACGUAGGAUCCGAGCAUUAUCCGGAGUGACUGGGUGUAAAGAGUUGCGUAGGUGGCAUAAUAAGUAGCUAGUGAAAUCUGGUGGCUCAACCAUUCAGACUAUUAGCUAAACUGUUAAGCUCGAGACCGUUAGGGGUAACUGGAAGUUCUAGUGUAGGAGUGAAAUCCGUAGAUAUUAGAAGGAACACCAAUAGCGUAGGCAGGUUGCUGGGACGGUUCUGACACUAAGGCACGAAAGCGUAGGGAGCAAACGGGAUUAGAUACCCCUGUAGUC